AACAGGAGGGCGACCAUAAAACCGAUGACCAUUUCAAAAACGGUCACCAGUGAAAAAUCAUGAAUGGCUCCGUUGAUGAUGGCAUUGUAAAUCGACAUGACGCAGACCAUUC
rnacentral:rRNA from 1 species